rnacentral:lncRNA from 1 species
CUUCUUUGGGUUGGCAUCAGACAUCUCCAGGUCAUUGUCCUGUGCACCCCCCCCCCUUGUCUGCAAGGAAGUAUGCUCUGACUGAGUUCUUCAGUCUCCGUGGGAACCUGGCAGGAGAGGUUUUAAAGCAAGGAGAGGGAGAUCAAGGGGAGGCCAAGAGGCCAAGAGCCAAAAAGGAAGGGAGAGCCUGGUGGAGUUGAGCUGGAAUGCAGAAAGCUCAGAGAAGAAAGGCCCAAACAGGCUGGAGAAAGCUGAAGCCACAUCUGCCUGGGACUUGCUGGCUGAUUUAGAAUUCAGCCUAAAAAGCAACACGAAUGGUCUUGGAGCAGGGGACCAACUGCGUCCUUUUCAAAGGCAAGCCUGAGGGCUGCCUCCUUUCUGUGACACUUGGCUUCUGCAAUGUCACUCUGCUCCACAACCCCCUAAUCUGGGGGAAAGCCAGCCACACAGGCAGAUUCAGCAGGGCCUCUGUGAAGGGUGCCUUCUCCUUUAUUUGCUGUGACGAAGCCAGUUGCUGCAUGAGGGCCAUCCCACGGAGAGGCCAUUGUGCCAAAGACCCGAGAUGGUGAGAAGAUGGAGGCCUUCAAUCCAACAUCCCACGAGGAUCUGGGUCUUGCCAACAACCAUGUGUGAGAUCUUGGAGGUAGAUCCUUCCGGGGAGGACCUAAGGGACUGCAGCUUGCAGACAUCACACCUGCCUCUGUCACCUACAGGAACUGAGUUACCUGAAGUACUUGUAACUAAGUACUAGUUACAUAGUAACAGAGGCCAGAGGGCAGACAUGUCUUCAGGAAUGUUGUCUUGUGCUUGGGAGGUAAGAAGGUGUCCUCAGACUGCCAUCAGUAAGUAGAAACUGCCCUAUUCAGCUGGCAAGAUGGGUCAGCAGGCAAAAGUGCGGGCUGGAACCUGAAUUUGCUCCCUGGCGCCCACAGUGGGGAGGGAGUACUGGCUCCCAAAAGUUGUCCUCUGUAUUAGUACGGUGGCACACAUGCGUCUGCAAUCAAACGCACAUAGCACACA